UACGAAGGGGGCUAGCGUUGCUCGGAAUCACUUGGCGUAAAGCGCACGUAGGCGGAUUGCUAAGUCAGGGGUGAAAUCCUGGAGCUCAACUCCAGAACUGCCUUUGAUACUGGCGAUCUUGAGUCCGGGAGAGGUGAGUGGAACUGCGAGUGUAGAGGUGAAAUUCGUAGAUAUUCGCAAGAACACCAGUGGCGAAGGCGGCUCACUGGCCCGGUACUGACGCUGAGGUGCGAAAGCGUGGGGAGCAAACAGG
rnacentral:rRNA from 1 species